UUUUAACCAAUCUUCACUGCACUAAAAAAUACAGGUAAUUAGCAAAGGCAGUAAAAUUUCAAGAAAUAUCCCAAAACGGAAUUGAGACAAAGUUAGAGCGAGAAAGGGUAGGUUCACAUUACCGUUCCAGAACAAGCAUCGAACAGGGCAAUCCAAACUGAGCACACCGAAAGGGUUUCGUAGAGAUACCUGUUUCGAUCUCCAUAAGCCAACCUAAAACCCUAAUUGCUGGAUAUAAAAGGGAAGGUGAGAAGGAAAAAGAGAAAAAGACGAAAAAAAUC
rnacentral:lncRNA from 1 species